rnacentral:rRNA from 1 species
UACGUAGGUGGCAAGCGUUGUCCGGAUUUACUGGGCGUAAAGAGCGCGCAGGCGGUCGUGCAAGUCGCGUGUGAAAGCCCCCGGCUCAACUGGGGAGGGUCACGCGAUACUGCUCGACUUGAAGGCAGGAGAGGGAAGUGGAAUUCCAGGUGUAGCGGUGAAAUGCGUAGAUAUCUGGAGGAACACCGGUGGCGAAGGCGGCAUCCUGGACCGAGAUUGACGCUGAGGCGCGAAAGCCAGGGGAGCAAACGGG